UCAUGGCUCAGAUUGAACGCUGGCGGCAUGCUUUACACAUGCAAGUCGAACGGUAGACCCUUCGGGGGUGAGAGUGGCGAACGGGUGAGUAAUGCAUCGGAACGUGCCGUAGUCGUGGGGGAUAACGUAGCGAAAGUUACGCUAAUACCGCAUACGCACUGAGGUGGGAAAGCGGGGGACCGUAAGGCCUCGCGCGAUUGGAGCGGCCGAUGUCGGAUUAGCUAGUUGGUGAGGUAAAGGCUCACCAAGGCGACGAUCCGUAGCGGGUCUGAGAGGAUGAUCCGCCACACUGGGACUGAGACACGGCCCAGACUCCUACGGGAGGCAGCAGUGGGGAAUUUUGGACAAUGGGCGCAAGCCUGAUCCAGCCAUGCCGCGUGCGGGAAGAAGGCCUUCGGGUUGUAAACCGCUUUCGGACAGAAAGAAAUCGCAUGGACUAAUACUCUGUGUGGAUGACGGUACUGUAAGAAGAAGCACCGGCUAACUACGUG
rnacentral:rRNA from 1 species